AUGUGAUCGUCUCUCGCAUAUCAAUAAGCGGAGGAAAAGAAACUAACAAGGAUUCCCCUAGUAACGGCGAGUGAAGCGGGAAGAGCUCAAAUUUGAAAUCUUAAAGGGUUUCCCUUUACGAAUUGUAGUUUAAAGAAGUGUUUUCUGUUGAGGUUUUGGUAAAAGUUCUUUGGAAUAGGACAUCAUAGAGGGUGAGAAUCCCGUAUUUGACCUUUACUUUCAACUUUGUGAUACACUUUCAAAGAGUCGGAUUGUUUGGGAAUGCAGUCCAAAAUGGGUGGUAAAUUUCAUCUAAAGCUAAAUAUUGGCGAGAGACCGAUAGCGAACAAGUACCGUGAGGGAAAGAUGAAGAGAACUUUGAAAAGAGAGUUAAACAGUACGUGAAAUUGUCAAAAGGGAAGCGUUUGACACCAGUGUUGUUUUUCUGAAAAUCAAUUAAAGAGCUGUUUAUGCUAAGCUGUUUAGACUUUAUCAGCUAUCUGUUUAGUUUUGAGCUUUUCUUUAAUGCACUUUUCAGUUAACAAGUCAACAUCAAUUUCUUUUGCUGUAAAAAAGCUUGAGGAAGGUGGCUUGAGAUUCGUCUUAAGUGUUUAUAGCCUCUUGCCUAUGCAGUCGGAGAGAUUGAGGUCUGCAGCGUAGAUCCUUCGGGGCUAAAUGCAUUUGUGCUAAGUUAUAGCAUUUUAUAGACAACUUGUUGACUAUGAUUUGUCUUGUAGCUUACUCGCUUAUGUUAUUUUACCUACGCUUAGGAUGUUGAUCUACAGAGCGAGAGU
rnacentral:rRNA from 1 species